GACGAACGCUGGCGGCGUGCUUAACACAUGCAAGUCGAACGGAAAGGCCCUGCUUUUGUGGGGUGCUCGAGUGGCGAACGGGUGAGUAACACGUGAGUAACCUGCCCUUGACUUUGGGAUAACUUCAGGAAACUGGUGCUAAUACCGGAUAGGAGCUCCUUCUGCAUGGUUGGGGUUGGAAAGUUUCGGCUGUUGGGGAUGGACUCGCGGCUUAUCAGCUUGUUGGUGGGGUAGUGGCUUAACAAGGCUUUGACGGGUAGCCGGCCUGAGAGGGUGACAGGCCACAUUGGGACUGAGAUACGGGCCAGACUCCUACGGGAGGCAGCAGUGGGGAAUAUUGCACAAUGGGCGGAAGACUGAUGCAGCAACGCCGCGUGCGGAAUGACGGCCUUCGGGUUGUAAAAAGCUUUCGCAUGUGACGAAGAGUGAGUGACGGUAAUAGGUAAAGAAGCAACGGCUAACUACGUG
rnacentral:rRNA from 1 species